CUUGGUUGAUCCUACCAGUAGUCAUAUGCUUGUCUCAAAGAUUAAGCCAUGCAUGUGUAAGUAUGAACUAAUUCAGACUGUGAAACUGUGAAUGGCUCAUUAAUAUAGUUAUAGUUUGUUUGAUGGUAUCUACUACUCGGAUAAUCAUAGUAAUUCUAGAGCUAAUACAUGCAACAAACCUUGACUUUUGGAAGGGAUGCAUUUAUUAGAUAAAAGGUCGAUGCGGGCUAUGCCCGUUGCUCUGAUGAUUCAUGAGAACUCAACGGAUCGCACGGCCUUUGUACCGGUGAUGCAUCGUUCAAAUUUUUGCCCAAUCAACUUUUGAUGGUAGGAUAGUGGCCUACUAUGGUGGUGAUGGGUGACGGAGAAUUAGGGUACGAUUUCGAAGAAGGAGCCUAAGAAACGGCUACCACAUCCUAGGAAGGCAGCAGGCGCGCAAAUUACCCAAUCCUUACACGGAGAGGUAGUGACAAUAAAUAACAAUACCGGGCACUAUGAGUUUGGUAACUGGAAUGAGUAUAAUCUAAAUCCCUUAACGAGGAUCCAUUGAAGGGUAAGUCUGGUGCCAACAACUGUGGUAAUUCCAGCUCCAAUAGCAUAUAUUUAAGUUGUUGCAGUUAAAAAGCUCGUAGUUGAAACUAGGGUUGGGUCAUCCGAUCCGCCUCACGGUGAGCAUCGAUCUACUCGUCCCUACUGCUAACGAUGCGUUCCUGGACUUAAUUGCCCGGGUAGCGCAAAGUAGGCCUAUGCUUGUAUACAUUAGCAUGGGAUAAGAUCAUAGGAUUUCGAUCCUAUUGUGUUGGCCUUCGGGAUCAGAGUAAUGAUUAAUAGGGACAGUCGGGGGCAUUCGUAUUUCAUAGUCAGAGGUGAAAUUCUUGGAUUUAUGAAAGACAAACAACUAUGAAAGCAUUUGCCAAGGAUGUUUUCAUUAAUCAAGAAUGAAAGUUGGGGGCUCGAAGAUGAUCAGAUACCAUCCUAGUCUCAACCAUAAACGAUGUCGACCAGGGAUUGAUGGAUGUUACUUUUAGGACUCCGUCGGCACCUUAUGAGAAAUCAAAGUCUUUGGGUUCCAGGGGGAGUAUGGUCGCAAGGCUGAAACUUAAAAGAAUUGACAGAAGGGCACCACCAGGAGUGGAGCCUGCGGCUUAAUUUGACUCAACACGGGGAAACUUACCAGGUCCAGACAUAGUAAGGAUUAACAGACUGAGAGCUCUUUCUUGAUUCUAUGGGUGGUUGUGCAUGGCCAUUCUUAGUUGGUGGAGUGAUUUGUCUGGUUAAUUCCAUUAACGAACGAGACCUAAGCCUGCUAACUAGCUACGCAAAGGUGAUCCUUCAUGGCUAGCUUCUUAGAGGGACUAUGGUCGCUUAGGCUAAGAAAGUUUGAGGCAAUAACAGGUCUGUGAUGACCUUAGAUGUUUUGGGCCGCACGCACGCUACACUGAUGUAUUCAAUGAGUGUAUAGCCUUGGCCAACAGGCCCGGGUAAUCUUUGAAAUUUCAUCGUGAUGGGGAUAGAUCAUUGCAAUUGUUGGUCUUCAAUGAGGAAUUUAUGUAAACGUGAGUCAUCAGCUUACGUUGACUACGUCCCUACCCUUUGUACACACCGCCCGUCGCUCCUAUCGAUUGAAUGGUUUGGUGAAGUGUUCGGAUCAUGGCGACGUGGAUGGUUCACCGCCCGUGACGUCGUGAGAAGUCCACGAACCUUAUCAUUUAGAGGAAGAAAAAGUUGUAACAAGGUUUCUGUAGGUGAACCUGCAGAAG
rnacentral:rRNA from 1 species